GUUGCUUUAUUUUUGAUAUUUUUUAAACUCAAAUUUUUUGAAGAUUAUUAUUGAAUAAAAAUGAUUAUCUGAAAAUACUCCCUUGAUAAAUAGAAUACCUCUCAAAGAAUGAGAAAAUGCUUAUUGCUUUCUAUUUUUUGAGAGGGGAGUCCCUGUCGGGAGAACGAGGCCAACUGUAAAGAUGAUCCGAUUGAAAUGC
rnacentral:lncRNA from 1 species